AUGUCCCAUUCAUUUGUGCGCAUGAUGAUCAGCAAGAUUCAUAGACAGCGCAAAUUAAGUAGUAGAGCAGAGCGUUUAUCUUAUCAAUAUGUAUAUCGUAUGUGGAAAAUUAUCGUAUGUGGAAAAUUAUACUCCCUCCGUCCGGAAAUACUUGUCAUUGAAAUAGAUGUAUCUAGAUGUAUUUUAGUUCUAGAUACAUCUAUUUUCAUCCAUUUUGAUGACAAGUAUUUCCGGACGGAGGGAGUAAUACCCUUGAAGACCCAUAAGGAAGAACUGACUCUUAAUGCUAUAGUCAACCGCGACAACCAGCUCUGA
rnacentral:rRNA from 1 species